CAAUUGUGAUGCCAAGAGAAGAGGUAGGCUUCAAAACAGGCUGCUGGACUGGAGACUCCACCACCAGGUGCUGUUGUCAUUCCUGACCUCCCUGGGUUGCGGCGUUGGACAUGCCCUGAUCCUUAGAAAGGGGAGGCAGUGGAGAGUUGUGACCCUCUCGAGUGCUGCAAGGACUCUAUGGAGGCAUUUGGUGGACGCCGCAGGAACCCACAGCCAGAGAUGGAUGCCAAGAUGCACUCCUUCCUCUGUCUGGCAAGCUCUGCUGACCUGUGAGGUCGUUCCCACGCUUGCAGAGGUCCUACGGGCUUGGUGUUGGUUGUCGCUUGUGCUCACCUUGCUGUCACCGGGUGUUCUUCCUUUGCCCAUCAUAAGGGGUCCCCUGUUCUGAUGGGGUCUCUGUGCCUUCUGCUUAUCCCAGAGAACAUGGGUUUGUUCUCUUAUAUCCAGGUUCAGUAUGUUUUCCUGUUGUUAUGUGAUGUUUGCCUUAGUUUUUUUAUUUUUUAUUUUUUUUCCGGGCUGCUUAUUGAUCCAUCCUGGGUCUGCAAUAAACCAAAUGAUUUCUGGUAAGGUUUGACCAAGUGAGAUGGAAAAUCAAGUGGUAAACUCCAAAACAGGCUUGCAGUGAGUGUGUCGUAUGACUUGGGGUUUCUAGCUUGACAUCUGUUUUUCUGUGUAACCCAUGUGGUUCAGUACCUGAUUUGAAGGUUUCUUCUUUCCUUCUAGUAUUGGAGACUUACCCACCACAUGGUGAUGCCUUCCCUGACCUCCUUGAUUGCAGUGUGGGAUGUGCCCUGAUCCUUGGAAAGGGGUGAGUGAUUCCUGCAUCCUCACUAGAAGGUAAUCUCUACUUACCUUUUCUUGUGUUCAUAAGGUGGCACUGGAGAGUUGUGACCCUGCUGAGCAGUGCAAGGACUCUACUGAGGCUCUUGGUGGACACAGCGAGAACCCACACCCGUAAAUGGAUGCCAAUAUCUAUUCCUUCCUCUGUCUGGCAAGCUCUGUUGUCCCCUGAGGUCAUUCCAAUGCUUGCAGAGGAGCUCCCUUUGGCCUCCAUGUCUCGCUCUGGCCAGGCAGAUGUGGUGUGUCAAUGGAUCAAAGCCUUCAGAAUUCAACCAAAAGAAAUGGGGAGAGAGGCUGCCCUGGGGCUCACCAAGUCCAAAUGUUCCCUGAUGGAGUCCAACUCCAGCUUGACCAACACUCACCCGGUCUGUCCCCGCACCAGCUGGCUUAGGGCUCCUCAGUUCUGAUGGGAUCUCAGUGCCUUCUGUCCCUCCCAUGACCCAAAUGCAGACUGCUCUGCGUUGCCCAAGCGUGAUGCCAAGAGAAGAGGUAGGCACCACAACAGGCUGCUGGAUAGAAGACUCUGCCGUCAGAUGGCGUUGCCUGUUCUUCUCUCCCCAGUUUGCAGAGUUGGAUGUGACCUCAGCACUGGAUAAGGGGUAAGUGAUUCCUUCAUCCUGACCAGAAGGUAAUCUCUACUUGCCUUGUGCUGUGUGGAGCAGGUUGCAGGGGAGAAGUGCAGUUGUCCGGGGCGCUGCAAGGACUCUAUGGAGGCAUUUGGUGGACGCCGCAGGAACCCACAGCCAGAGAUGGAUGCCAAGAUGCACUCCUUCCUCUGUCUGGCAAGCUCUGCUGACCUGUGAGGGCUCCCCAGUUCUGGUGGGAUCUCCGUGCCUUCUGCUGAUCCCAGAGUACUUCAAUUUGUUCUUUUAUUUUCAGGUUCUGUACCAUUUCAUGCUUCUGUGAUGUGUUUUUCUUCCUUUUGUUUUACAGGAUGGAAUUGUACACCUGGUUGGAUCUACGAUGACCCAAAUGCAAUCUAGUAAGGUUUGGCCAAGUGUGGUGGGAAAGGAGGAUGUAGGCUCCUAAGCAAACUUCUGGAUUGGGGACACCAGCACCAGAUGCUCUUGCACUUCCUGACCUCCCUGGGUGGCAGCAUUGGAAGUGCCUGGACCUUUGGAAAGGGCUAAGUGAUUCCUUCAUCAUUACCAGAAUGUAGUUUGUGUUCAACAGGUGACGGUGGAGAACUGUGGCCUUCUGUUCAGCGCAAAAAGUCUACUGAGGAUCUAGGUGGAUAGAACAGGAACGCAGAGCCAUAGUUGGAUGCCAAGAUGCACGCCUUCCUCUGUCUGGCAAGCUCUGCUGACCCCUGAGGUCAUUUCCAUGCUUGCAGAGGUCCUAUCUGUUUGGUGUCGGUUGUGCCUUGUGUUCACUUGGCUUUCACCUGGGGUUGUUGCCUUAUAAUAUUUUUCCCACCCUGUUUCCAAGCAGGAGCUCCCCUUGGCCUCCAUGUUUCGCUCUGGCCAGGCAGAUGUGGUGCGCCAAUGGUAUGCAGAGUGUAGAUCCCAAGCAGAACAACUGAGAGAGGCUGCCCUGGGUGAGACAGGAGAAGUGCCCCUUGGAGUGGGGGACGCCCCGCUGGCACUGCCUCUCGCAUCCACCGGCAGCACGUUCCUUCUCUCUCCUUGGCACCCAACUCUUUGCUGUCUCUCAGGCUCACCAAGUCCAAAUGUUCCCUGAUGGAGUCCAACUCCAGCUUGACCAACACUCACCCCUUAGAGCUCCCCAGCAUUGCUGGCUGUUGGUGCCUUCUGUCGCUCCAAGUCAGCACGGCUCUGUUCUUUGCCUUUUGGGUUCCAGAGCGUUUGCUACAGGUUAUGGAGUGUUUCUCUUCUCUCUCUUCUUGUCCUCCAUGUUGCCCGUUGGCGCCUUGGUAGAGUUUCAGUGACCCAAAUGCAGACUGCUCUGCAUUGACCAAUUGUGAUGCCAAGAGAAGAGGAUAGGAGACUCUGCCAUCAGAUGGCUGUUGCCUGUUCUUCUCUCCCCAGUUUGCAGAGUUGGAUGUGACCUCAGCACUGGAUAAGGGGUAAGUGAUUCCUUCAUCCUGACCAGAAGGUAAUCUCUACUUGCCUUGUGCUGUGUGGAGCAGGUUGCAGGGGAGAAGUGCAGUUGUCCGGGGCGCUGCAAGGACUCUAUGGAGGCAUUUGGUGGACGCCUGCAGGAACCCACAGCCAGAGAUGGAUGCCAAGAUGCACUCCUUCCUCUGUCUGGCAAGCUCUGCUGACCCGUGAGGGCUCCCCAGUUCUGGUGGGAUCUCCGUGCCUUCUGCUUAUCCCAGAGAACAUGGGUUUGUUCUCUUAUAUCCAGGUUCAGUAUGUUUUCCUGUUGUUAUGUGAUGUUUGCCUUAGUUUUUUUAUUUUUUAUUUUUUUUCCGGGCUGCUUAUUGAUCCAUCCUGGGUCUGCAAUAAACCAAAUGAUUUCUGGUAAGGUUUGACCAAGUGAGAUGGAAAAUCAAGUGGUAAACUCCAAAACAGGCUUGCAGUGAGUGUGUCGUAUGACUUGGGGUUUCUAGCUUGACAUCUGUUUUUCUGUGUAACCCAUGUGGUUCAGUACCUGAUUUGAAGGUUUCUUCUUUCCUUCUAGUAUUGGAGACUUACCCACCACAUGGUGAUGCCUUCCCUGACCUCCUUGAUUGCAGUGUGGGAUGUGCCCUGAUCCUUGGAAAGGGGUGAGUGAUUCCUGCAUCCUCACUAGAAGGUAAUCUCUACUUACCUUUUCUUGUGUUCAUAAGGUGGCACUGGAGAGUUGUGACCCUGCUGAGCAGUGCAAGGACUCUACUGAGGCUCUUGGUGGACACAGCGAGAACCCACACCCGUAAAUGGAUGCCAAUAUCUAUUCCUUCCUCUGUCUGGCAAGCUCUGUUGUCCCCUGAGGUCAUUCCAAUGCUUGCAGAGGUCCUAUGGGCUUGUUGUUGGUUUUCGCUUGUGCUCACUUGGCUUUCCAAGGGUGUUCCUCUUACUUGACACCCUUUCCCAUCCUCCAUUUCCAAGCAGGAGCUCCCUUUGGCCUCCAUGUCUCGCUCUGGCCAGGCAGAUGUGGUGUGUCAAUGGAUCAAAGCCUUCAGAAUUCAACCAAAAGAAAUGGGGAGAGAGGCUGCCCUGGGGCUCACCAAGUCCAAAUGUUCCCUGAUGGAGUCCAACUCCAGCUUGACCAACACUCACCCGGUCUGUCCCCGCACCAGCUGGCUUAGGGCUCCUCAGUUCUGAUGGGAUCUCAGUGCCUUCUGUCCCUCCCAUGACCCAAAUGCAGACUGCUCUGCGUUGCCCAAGCGUGAUGCCAAGAGAAGAGGAUAGAAGACUCUGCCGUCAGAUGGCGUUGCCUGUUCUUCUCUCCCCAGUUUGCAGAGUUGGAUGUGACCUCAGCACUGGAUAAGGGGUAAGUGAUUCCUUCAUCCUGACCAGAAGGUAAUCUCUACUUGCCUUGUGCUGUGUGGAGCAGGUUGCAGGGGAGAAGUGCAGUUGUCCGGGGCGCUGCAAGGACUCUAUGGAGGCAUUUGGUGGACGCCGCAGGAACCCACAGCCAGAGAUGGAUGCCAAGAUGCACUCCUUCCUCUGUCUGGCAAGCUCUGCUGACCUGUGAGGGCUCCCCAGUUCUGGUGGGAUCUCCGUGCCUUCUGCUGAUCCCAGAGUACUUCAAUUUGUUCUUUUAUUUUCAGGUUCUGUACCAUUUCAUGCUUCUGUGAUGUGUUUUUCUUCCUUUUGUUUUACAGGAUGGAAUUGUACACCUGGUUGGAUCUACGAUGACCCAAAUGCAAUCUAGUAAGGUUUGGCCAAGUGUGGUGGGAAAGGAGGAUGUAGGCUCCUAAGCAAACUUCUGGAUUGGGGACACCAGCACCAGAUGCUCUUGCACUUCCUGACCUCCCUGGGUGGCAGCAUUGGAAGUGCCUGGACCUUUGGAAAGGGCUAAGUGAUUCCUUCAUCAUUACCAGAAUGUAGUUUGUGUUCAACAGGUGACGGUGGAGAACUGUGGCCUUCUGUUCAGCGCAAAAAGUCUACUGAGGAUCUAGGUGGAUAGAACAGGAACGCAGAGCCAUAGUUGGAUGCCAAGAUGCACGCCUUCCUCUGUCUGGCAAGCUCUGCUGACCCCUGAGGUCAUUUCCAUGCUUGCAGAGGUCCUACGGGCUUGGUGUUGGUUGUCGCUUGUGCUCACCUUGCUGUCACCGGGUGUUCUUCCUUUGCCCAUCAUAAGGGGUCCCCUGUUCUGAUGGGGUCUCUGUGCCUUCUGCUUAUCCCAGAGAACAUGGGUUUGUUCUCUUAUAUCCAGGUUCAGUAUGUUUUCCUGUUGUUAUGUGAUGUUUGCCUUAGUUUUUUUAUUUUUUAUUUUUUUUCCGGGCUGCUUAUUGAUCCAUCCUGGGUCUGCAAUAAACCAAAUGAUUUCUGGUAAGGUUUGACCAAGUGAGAUGGAAAAUCAAGUGGUAAACUCCAAAACAGGCUUGCAGUGAGUGUGUCGUAUGACUUGGGGUUUCUAGCUUGACAUCUGUUUUUCUGUGUAACCCAUGUGGUUCAGUACCUGAUUUGAAGGUUUCUUCUUUCCUUCUAGUAUUGGAGACUUACCCACCACAUGGUGAUGCCUUCCCUGACCUCCUUGAUUGCAGUGUGGGAUGUGCCCUGAUCCUUGGAAAGGGGUGAGUGAUUCCUGCAUCCUCACUAGAAGGUAAUCUCUACUUACCUUUUCUUGUGUUCAUAAGGUGGCACUGGAGAGUUGUGACCCUGCUGAGCAGUGCAAGGACUCUACUGAGGCUCUUGGUGGACUCAGCAAGAACCCACACCCGUAGAUGGAUGCCAAUAUCUAUUCCUUCCUCUGUCUGGCAAGCUCUGUUGUCCCCUGAGGUCGUUCCCAUGCUUGCAGAGGUCCUAUGGACUUGUUGGUUUUCGCUUGUGCUCACUGGGCUUAUCAAGGGUGUUCCUCUUGCUUGACACCACCUUUCCCAUCCUCUAUUUCCAAGCAGGAGCUCCCUUUGGCCUCCAUGUCUCGCUCUGGCCAGGCAGAUGUGGUGUGUCAAUGGAUCAAAGCCUUCAGAAUUCAACCAAAAGAAAUGGGGAGAGAGGCUGCCCUGGGUGAGACAGGAGAAGUGCCCCUUGAAGCGGGGGACGCCCCGCUGGCACUGCCUCUCACAUCCAUCAGCAGCACAUUCCUUUUCUCUCCUUGCCACCUGGCGCUUUGCAAUCUCCCUGUGCUUGCCAAGUCCAAAUGUUCCCUGAUGGAGUCCAACUCCGGCUCGACCAUCACUCACCUGGUCUGUCCCCACACCAGCUGGCUUAGGGCUCUCCAGUACUGCUGGAUAUCAGUGCCUUCUGUUCCUCCCUGUCAACAUGGUGGUGUUCUUUCUUUUUAGGUUCAGUAACGUGUCUUCUUGUUAUGCGGUGGUACUCUUCUCUGUUUUCUUGUGUUUCAUGUUGCCUGUCAAUGCCUCUUUGGAGAUACACCAAGUGAAAUGUAAACUGAUGUUCUUUGACCCAGUGUGAUGGAAAAUGAAGAUGUAGGCUCCACUACAGCUAUCGUUCGAAACGGGAUGGACCAUUUUGACUAUUUGUCAACGCCCACCUGGCAAUCUGAAUUUAGGAGCCGCUUUCAUGGACGUGUCGCUGCAGGGCAAAGAAGGCCUCAAAACUUCAGUGGACCUGUACCCCCAAGAGAGCUCUGAAACUUAUGUUAAGAAAAUAAAUGUCUUAAUAUUU